rnacentral:misc_RNA from 1 species
CUGAGAACUUGCCCCUCGGGGUAGAUCUCCCACCCUUUGUUUACCUAAUACCUUUGUUGCCUUGGCAGGCCCGUCUCACGACCACCGGCUUCAGCUGGUCAGUGCCUGCCAGAGGACUUCAAACUCUUUGUAUUUUUUUGUCCGAGUAUUAUUUAAUAGUUA